UACGUAGGGUGCGAGCGUUGUCCGGAAUUAUUGGGCGUAAAGAGCUUGUAGGCGGUUUGUCGCGUCUGCUGUGAAAAUCCGGGGCUCAACCCCGGACUUGCAGUGGGUACGGGCAGACUAGAGUGUGGUAGGGGAGACUGGAAUUCCUGGUGUAGCGGUGAAAUGCGCAGAUAUCAGGAGGAACACCGAUGGCGAAGGCAGGUCUCUGGGGCCACUACUGACGCUGAGAAGCGAAAGCAUGGG
rnacentral:rRNA from 1 species